GUGGGGAAUAUUGGACAAUGGGCGAAAGCCUGAUCCAGCCAUGCCGCGUGUGUGAAGAAGGUCUUCGGAUUGUAAAGCACUUUAAGUUGGGAGGAAGGGCAGUAAGUUAAUACCUUGCUGUUUUGACGUUACCAACAGAAUAAGCACCGGCUAACUUCGUGCCAGCAGCCGCGGUAAUACGAAGGGUGCAAGCGUUAAUCGGAAUUACUGGGCGUAAAGCGCGCGUAGGUGGUUCAGCAAGUUGGAGGUGAAAUCCCCGGGCUCAACCUGGGAACUGCCUCCAAAACUACUGAGGUAGAGUACGGUAGAGGGUAGUGGAAUUUCCUGUGUAGCGGUGAAAUGCGUAGAUAUAGGAAGGAACACCAGUGGCGAAGGCGACUACCUGGACUGAUACUGACACUGAGGUGCGAAAGCGUGGGGAGCAAACAGGAUUAGAUACCCGAGUAGUCC
rnacentral:rRNA from 1 species